UGGGGAAUCUUGCGCAAUGGGCGAAAGCCUGACGCAGCAACGCCGCGUGAGCGAAGACGGCCUUCGGGUUGUAAAGCUCUGUCAGGAGGGACGAAGCCACUCCGGUGAAUAGCCGAGAGGGUGACGGUACCUCCAGAGGAAGCCCCGGCUAACUACGUGCCAGCAGCCGCGGUAAUACGUAGGGGGCAAGCGUUGUCCGGAAUCAUUGGGCGUAAAGCGCGUGUAGGCGGCCAUCCAAGUCCGAUGUGAAAGCUCGGGGCUCAACCCCGAGUCUGCAUUGGAAACUGUAUGGCUUGAGUCCGGAAGAGGAGACUGGAAUUCCAGGUGUAGCGGUGAAAUGCGCAGAUAUCUGGAAGAACACCGGUGGCGAAGGCGGGUCUCUGGGACGGUACUGACGCUGAGACGCGAAAGCGUGGGGAGCAAACA
rnacentral:rRNA from 1 species